rnacentral:hammerhead_ribozyme from 1 species
GUACUGCUGAAGGGUCCCAAUUUAGGGCGAAACAGCUGUCCAGUAC